AAUGAACGCUGGCGGCAGGCCUAACACAUGCAAGUCGAACGGAGCCUUCGGGAUUAGUGGCGGACGGGUGAGUAACGCGUGGGAACGUGCCCUUUGGUUCGGAAUAGCCUCGGGAAACGGAGAGUAAUACCGGAUAAGCCUUUCGGGGGAAAGAUUUAUCGACAAAGGAUCGGCCCGCGUUGGAUUAGGUAGUUGGUGGGGUAAUGGCCUACCAAGCCGACGAUCAAUAGCUGGUUUGAGAGGAUGAUCAGCCACACUGGGACUGAGACACGGCCCAGACUCCUACGGGAGGCAGCAGUGGGGAAUCUUAGACAAUGGGGGAAACCCUGAUCUAGCCAUGCCGCGUGAUCGAUGAAGGCCUUAGGGUUGUAAAGAUCUUUCAGUUGGGAAGAUAAUGACGGUACCAACAGAAGAAGCCCCGGCUAACUCCGUGCCAGCCGCCGCCGUAA
rnacentral:rRNA from 1 species